AUUGAACGCUGGCGGCAGGCCUAACACAUGCAAGUCGAGCGAGCGGCGGACGGGUGAGUAAUGUCUGGGAAACUGCCUGGUGGAGGGGGAUAACUACUGGAAACGGUAGCUAAUACCGCAUACCAUCAGAUGUGCCCAGAUGGGAUUAGCUAGUAGGUGGGGUAAUGGCUCACCUAGGCGACGAUCCCUAGCUGGUCUGAGAGGAUGAUCAGCCACACUGGAACUGAGACACGGCCCAGACUCCUACGGGAGGCAGCAGUGGGGAAUAUGGGACAAUGGGCGCAAGCCUGAUGCAGCCAUGCCGCGUGUGUGAAGAAGGCCUUAGGUUUGUAAAGCACUUUCAGCGGGGAGGCGUUACCGGCAGAAGAAGCACCGGCUAACUCCGUGCCAGCAGCCGCGGUAAUAC
rnacentral:rRNA from 1 species